AGGACGAACGCUGGCGGCGUGCUUAAUACAUGCAAGUCGAACGAGGUUUAGUCAGUGGCAACACUGACGACUACCUAGUGGCGAACGGGUGAGUAACACGUGAGCAACCUGCCCUUGGCUCUGGGAUAGCCUCCGGAAACGGGGAUUAAUACCGGACAUGACCUUCUCCUGCAUGGGGGAGGGUGGAAAGUUUUUCGGCCAGGGAGGGGCUCGCGGCCUAUCAGCUUGUUGGGGGGUAACGCCCACCAAGGCGACGACGGGUA
rnacentral:rRNA from 1 species